GGGUCAGUAGGUUGGUCGUGCCACCGGUACGUACUGGUCUCACUGAUUCCUCCUUCCUGAAGAACCGUAAUGCCAUUAAUGUGGUGUUGCGGGGAAACAGGACUGUUACUUUGAAAAAAUUAGAGUGGUUAAAGCAAGCUAACGCUUGAAUACAUUAGCAUGGAAUAAUGAAAUAGGACGAUCGAUCCUAUUUUGUUGGUUUCUAGGAUUGACGUA
rnacentral:rRNA from 1 species